UCAAAAGGGAACCCUUAUUUUGUAUGUGAUGCAAGAGUUCUUGUUAAGCCUUACAAGGAGAAGGGGAAAGUUCCAAACAAGUACAAGCACCUACUCAUUCUUCUAUAGUCUUUUCUUCUUAUCUUUUUUUUUCUUUCUUAAUUGUCUCACACAACAAUGCUUUGAAUUUGAAUUUUUAGGAAGCAACAUCAACAAGUAGAUAAGGAUUUUUCACCUUGUGGCACUUCUACUGGACUAGAUGCUAGAGACCAAUAUGAUCUCCAACUAGAACUUUGCUUCUUGUUGUUGCAUACAAUCCGAAGAAAGACUUGAUGCAUCAUGGAGAAUAUGAGUGCUUGCUAAACACCGUGGAAGCAUAUGUCAUUGAUGCCUGACCUCAGUUGAUGGGUUGAAGAUUGGGACUACAACAAAAUCAUCAUUUGCAAUAGGUAAAAUAGCAUCUUCAGUUUAAUAUCUGUUCAUUUAUUUUUUAAAUAGUCAAACUAUCAAGAUACAAGGAUUAGAAGAAGCUGCUGUGUGGUGUAAACAUUUUGUAGCUGAUAAAUGUAGUGAGAUCAUAGAUGUUCUAGAAAAUAAAUCAUGAGUAGUUAAUUUUAAUUUCAUAAAACUAACAGGAGGUAAUGCUGAAAAGAAAACAAUGUUGAAUUUUUUAUUUCACAUCAUGCAAUGCAACAAAAAUAAUUAAGGCAAAUUUGGAUUUCUUAUUAUUUCAAAGAGUUUAUGGUGAGAAACAGAAGAAGUGCAGCAACAAAGUAGAACUGACAUUAAAGUUGUCACCUUGUGGUAAUGAGAAAGAAGAAGAGAGGAUGAGGAAGCUGAAGAGGUCAUCAUCAGUGAUUAAAGAUGGCAGCAUCACAUAUAUGUAGUAUUCAUAAAUAUAAAUUUGUUGUAUUUGUGUAGAUUUGUUUUCGCCUUCAUUGUUUUUCAAUGCAUAUAUGUAGUAUACAUAAAUAUAAAUUUAUUUGUAUUAGAAUUCAUUUUUCAUUUCAUCUUUAUAUGAUUUUCAAUAAUUAUUGGCAU